GCCUCGGUGCUGUAGUGGUAACACGAGUCGCCGUUAUGGAUUAAGCGCGGGUUCAAUUCCCGUCUUAGGUC